AUGGGAUCCGGUCUCUAUGGGUAUCUUGACCAAACAAUUCCCGAACCUACCAAAACAAUAUCGUCCAAAAACUCUGAAGGAAAGGAACAAAUCGUUCCAAAUCCCGCCUACACCCCUUGGUUAAUCCAAGACCAGCAGAUCGUAGCCUACCUGCUGAGAAAUCUCUCCAAAGAAAUUCUAGUUCAGGUUGCCUCGAUGGAGACAUCGCAUGCGAUCUGGACAUCCCUGGCAAACAUGUUCGCAGCCCAAUCUGCAUCCCGUGUGAAUAACCUCAGAAUCUCUCUGACCAAUGCC
rnacentral:rRNA from 1 species